UACGGAGGGUGCAAACGUUGCUCGGAAUUAUUGGGCGUAAAGCGCACGUAGGCGGUCUCGUAAGUCGGGUGUGAAAGCCCGGGGCUCAACCCCGGAAGUGCACUCGAAACUGCAAGGCUUGAGUACGGAAGAGGGUCUCGGAAUUCCCGGUGUAGAGGUGAAAUUCGUAGAUAUCGGGAGGAACACCAGUGGCGAAGGCGGAGACCUGGGCCGAUACUGACGCUGAGGUGCGAAAGCGUGGGGAGCAAACAGG
rnacentral:rRNA from 1 species